ACCUGGGCCGUUGAGCAACAAUUGACAAUCAGAGCUUUUACAUAUACAAGCAUUCAUGCACCUAAAUUUGUCGCAGAUCAAACUGUCUAUAACUGAACGUUUCCCUUAUACGAUGUGCCAUAUAUAGUGUAAAAUUUGUCUUAUAAUACGUGUAACCAUUUUAAGCUUUUAUAUAAUGUAUCGUAAUCAGCUGAAUGAACUGCUGGAAUUAAAAGCAUUUGACUGUUUGUAUUUGUGUACCUUUUUCAGCGUUGGUAUCAUUCUUGGUUUAGGUCGGCGGACAUGCAGAUGUUCGCUGCAAUAACCAUCUUUGCUUUGCUGAUGCUAGUUGAAUCACUUUUGCCCUUUUCCCACAAAACUGUAUACGAAUAGCGCAUGGAAACACUCAGCCACUGACGCAGAAUACGCUUUCAAACUAAAAUUCUACGGUAAAGUAUUUGAUUCAAUCAAAUAUCUGCUGAUAAGAAGCAUACGCGAUAGUGAUAGUCAAUUAUAUUUUUUAAUUCAAAUAUUUCCUCUUCUUUUUUUCUAAUAAUUUUUCAGAGCUUCGAAAUGAACGUUUAUAUAGCUCGACGUGCUCGUCGCUUUUAGCUCUUAAUGGAUUGUGCACACAUACAUAACAGAGAGCAAUGUCUUGAUACUGUCUUCGAAUCUCUUCGAUCCGGUGUGGCAGUAAAUACCCAAAAAUUUUCUCUACUUAAGUCGGAGAAAAUUUUAUUCAAAAAAAUACUUAAUGCAAAAACCAAAAAAUCUACUUUGUGCAUUUUUUUGUAAAGUGAGCUAUAUGUAUGUACACAGAAGAGAGAAAUAAAGAGCUGUGUUACAAUGUCGUACACUUGGAAUGAAUUCUACAGAGACAUGAAUAUGGUGCAAAUAAACACCGUAACACAUGUCGGUGAUUUUGUCUUUAGGAUGUUCGCUGGCGCCUAUAAAACGGUAAAAGUACUAAACAUGUGAGUUCCAGUGCGUUUUUCUUAUUUAAUUAUUAUAACUGCCUUUCUGCGCUUGAUGUAUUCGUGAUACGGAAAAUUUACAUAAGAACUGCUCAUCAGUUUCUAAUCAGCGAAGUUAGCACAUGGGCCCCAGCCUUUUUUAUGGGUUUACUGAGUGAUUUAUGGGAGAGGCAAACUUAAAAUAAAAAUAUUUUAUAGCUUAAACUAUAAUGCAUGGGCAGGAGCCUUCUGAAUAACAGAAAUUCGAAUGCAUUCUGCUUGUCUUCAAAGCUCAGGCCGUUUCUCGUGUAUUAGGUAGUUUUGUGUGUUUUUAUCAAGAAGUUGAGCUGGCGUGUCAGCGUGAAACCGCUAGCCAUCUUCGAGGUACAAAUCCAUCAGUUUUUUUUUUUCAUUUCAUUAUAUUCGUAGCUCGGUUGUACGCCAUAGAUGAGCUGUCAUCAAAAUUAGACUCGAAUUUUCGGUCUCUGAUCUCUUAUAGCCAGACACAUUGGAAUUUGAAAGUUGUGCUCCCUACAAUAUGCCAUCUCUUAGCAAUACUCCGAAGAACGUCUAUCUUAGAAAAAAAAAACAAUGACUAAAGGUACAGCUUAUUAAUCAAUGAAUAUGUUUAGAAAAACAUACUUCUUUAGCACAUACACGUACGAAUCAGAUUAUAGUUGAAGCUAGGAUAGCCAAAAAUGACAAACGAGUCCUGCCAGUUUGAUUAAUACAUAAGACAGAUUCCGAAGCAUCUGUUCUGUUCCUAUUAACAAAACCUAACAAUCUUAUUCUGUUCAAUGCUUGUCAAACAGCCUGUGUUUUUCUGUGUUAUUUUACCUAACAGGGGGCAGCACUUCUCGUCAACCGACGCCACGCUGGGUCGAGCUGGCUUAUGCCGGCUUCCACCGUGGGAUAUGGUGAUUUCAUGUAGUUCAUUGUUUCUUCUCAUUGUUACCCACAACUUAAGAAGUGCUUCAGUCGUCACGCGAAAGUACUAUCAUUUGUAGCCUACUCUUCAUGCUAGAUAACGACGAACAGUUCGGAAUAGUUCUACGUUCACUAUUGCACUUUAUGCUUUAGAGUGGUUAUAUCACGCAUCCUAUCGUGUUCUCGUUGUUACGGGCAAACUCUCGUUUGGUAUAUAUCUAUUUACAUGGGAACGAACACGACCUAUGUACAGGUAGCCCACGCGUAAAUGUUUCUAAUAGCUUUUGACAACAUUCGUUGAAUAGGUUGGAAGACUCAGUUUUUUAAAAUUGCACUUUGCACAAACACUUAAUGAGCUAAAUAGGACAAUCUAGUUACAUUUUACAGAUUAGUUUGCACGAAAAAUUAUUCUUUGCAUGGACCUAUUCCCAUGCUAUUUGAGGCAUAGUCUUAUAAAAGAGUUGAAGUCUAAAAGAGAUUGCGGCGUCGUUAUAAAUUAAAGGAACAUUACUUGCCAGCUUCUUUUGUCAAGUGAUGAAUUAUUAUGAUACUUAUGGUACUUUUUCGUUCUAGAUGUGCACCACUGUUGGUAAAUUACGAAAUCAGCCUAUGCCUAUCGUACAUUCUGUACAUGCGUAUUAAUUGCUCUUCGGGUCGUGAAGUACGCUGCACAAUCACACAGCAGCUAUCUCCGAAGUCAUGCAACAAGCUAAAAAAAACCACAGACUCAAACGAUUUGCUUUAUAUUAUUAAAAUCGACCGCAGGACAAAACUACAGAUAAAGCAAUUAAAACAAACAAAACUUUAUUCAUUUGAAACUGAUUGUGUUGCAUGAAUGAUAUCUGUGAAUGAUCGGCGGUACCUGCAAAAUUUUACAUAUUAUUUUCAGGCGUACUUUAUCGUAUUAGAAUCUACUCGAAGAUGUGAACUGGGGAGUAAGUUAAAGCUACUGAUUACAGCUUCGUGACAAAGUUAUUUCGGAGCUAGAAACGGAGUGCGUCGAGCCGACAAUUACGCAAAACGAAUAGGGAUUUUUUCGAGAAUUUAGCACGAUACCAAGAACGAAUCGCCUAUGCUUAUGUUGACGUAUGCCUGAAUACGUAGGCAGGGCAUGGAAGUAGUUGGCAGUAACUGACACACAUUUACGCGUAAUGUCGCACAGCUGCUUGAAAGGGUUUUGCGAGCGGCUGAAAGCGAGUUGACCAGGUUCGUCCACAAAUAAGUCGUGCUUUAUACUCCACAAAACGUUAUUAUUCGAACUGCUAAGAGUCCGGAUUGUAGCAAUGGAUGUCACAUGGCUUUAGAGGUCACGAUGAUCGAAUAGCCAAUAGCUAGCGGCGCGCAAUUUUGAAACAACCCAGAUACAGGAUACAAAUUACUACCUUGAUUUCGCAGUAUGUCGGAAAUAGCUUGUACCUUUCUACUCAGCUCUCUUCUAACAUUUUGCACCAUGCAUACGUUUGAUAGCUGCCAAAAUUUUUGAUAGCGGAUCUUUUUCAGCCUGAAGCGCAACCGAUAGGCGUUCGCCUCUCAUCUACAAUCGUCUUCAUCAUGACUGUGCAUGCCACUGAGAUUUAGCCAUUCUUAGCGUAACAAAACAUAGCAACAAGGAACAGCAACAGGUAGACAGCAGUAGACAUAUUAGAAAGAUCAACGUACCUAGCAAAGAAGAGCACAAACAAACGCCUUCGAAACCCAUCCGGGUGAUAUCUCGUCUUAGUAAGUAAUAAUAACUUGAUGUCGAUCACCCGAGCGAAUAAUGUAAUCUCUACUUAAUCAUUCGUCUUUGACGUGUGCCAGAGCUGCUGUUACCAGCAAGCUGCAGCGGCAGCUCGCAGUAUUCAUUCGCAUGAGAAGAUCGACAACGAUGCAACUAUUUAGGAACAGAUAAGCUGGGCCACAGUGCUUCCGCGCCGUAAGCCCGGUGCGGCGUCCUGUCAAAGAAGACGUGUUUGUGCACUGAUCAGGCGAGCGAGGAUUGUCAAUACCGCUGCAGGAACUUCAUGUUCGCUUUGUUCUUGAGAAACAGACUGAGGACUCGUCUUCUCCGACGAUGAAACGGCAAAGCAAGAAGGCCAAGUAAUGUUCGACAAUCGUCAAAUCAUUCCCGGGUGGGGCGGCCCCAUCGGACCUUGGGGUGGUUGGGGAGGAGGCUGGCCGUGGUACGGAGGCAUAAGUACGGUGAUGUUCGCUGCGCUCAUCUAUUCUCUGUCCGUCCUUCCGGCCAUGAUGCAACUUUUUAAUCAUUACCAUUCGUACCACCAUCACGGCCCACCACAUCGAAGCCCGGUAUCGAACUUUGUACACGGAUUUCUGGGAAUCAAGCGGCGUAGUGAUAACGGAGGUGACGAAUUUGACUUACCAGACACGCUCCUGCGGGUGGCCUCUUCGGAUACAUUGGGACGUGGCCUUAAAAUAGCAAAGAACAUCAUAACCGAAUGGCCUGCCGCGUCUAACGACUGCAAAGCAAUGUAUGUCUGUCAGCUAACUCGUGAGAUCAUAAGCUUGUCAACGAACGAAGGGGAUUCGGAGAACGAGGUACGGCAAAAACGGGAUAC